GGGUAUACUUUUCCGAAAUUGUAGUACGACGAUUACCUAAUCAAAAUUUUUGAUACCCGCCGUCCGUGUAGCCCUUACAGACAAAUGACUACCCAUAUCUACAGGUACGUACCCCUACAAUAAAGUUAAUGACCAUAGACUUUAUUUAAGGGAUCAUUGGUACAUUGGUCUUAUAAUUUCGUGUUUGUAGCAAAUUAACAACGUACAAUACACUCAGUAACAAAAUGGAUUCAAACAAUAAACGAAUGGAAGAGAGCGACUACUUUGUGUUUUCUUGCAAACGAAUAAAACACUGCUUUUCGUGACGAAUUUGUUGCGCGUCCGCAAUGAAUUCGCUGCGUAUGCGCGGCGUGUUCGUUGCGCGCCCAUAACGUAUUCGUUGCGCGUCCGUUCCGCUUUGAAGACGCUCGCAAUCCGCUAGUAUGAAAAGGCCCUAACAGCUGGCAUUAUUUGAAUACUCUUUGAUGUUUCUGACUUCAUACGUUAUAGCUCCUGUGGCUUUUGGCAACUGUCUAAAUUGAAAGAUUGUAUCGCUCGUGAUGUCCGUUUACUUUAGACUGUCAUGGCAUUAAAAUAGUACUUUUGUGGAUGUGUUAAUAAAAGUGUCGCGUGUCAGGUACGUUCGUACAUUUUAUACAUGUACGUAUAUUUAAUUAAGUCCAUGGCUCCCCACCGUCCAGCUUGGAAGAUUCAACAAAUGUAUGGAUAAAACAUGGUAUAUAGUAUAGUACUAAUGACGCUUGUAUUAGUCAUGUGGCUACCGUGCAUCAAGGAGGGAAUGUGGGCGAAGCCAGGACCAGUGUUUGCGAGGGACCGCAAGAAUCGAAUAUUUCAAAUAACUCCUACAGGAAAGUGUUGCGAGAACCAGUGCAUGCAACGCAAAUGUUAAAAAAUUAUAAAUAUUGUUUUCGUUU